AAAAGUCGUAACAAGGUUUCCGUAGGUGAACCUGCGGAAGGAUCAUUAUCGUACAAUGGAGGCACCAGGGCUGUCGCUGACUUUAACACGUCGUGCACGCCCGAGUGCUCUCUCAUAUAUCCAUAUCACCCCUUGUGCAUCACCGCGUGGGUCCUCUUAGGGGGGCUCACGUUUUUAAAUCACACAUACACACCCUAUAGUAUAGAAUGUCCUUUAUCAUGCGGUAACACGCAAUCAAUACAACUUUCAACAACGGAUCUCUUGGCUCUCGCAUCGAUGAAGAACGCAGCGAAAUGCGAUACGUAAUGUGAAUUGCAGAAUUCAGUGAAUCAUCGAAUCUUUGAACGCAUCUUGCGUCCCUCGGCAUUCCGAGGGGCACACCCGUUUGAGUGUCGUGACAUUCUCAACCUUCUUGGUUUCUUGAUCAAGAAGGCUUGGACUUUGGAGGUUUUUGCUGGCCUCUCUUGAAGCCAGCUCCUCUUAAAUUGAUUAGUGGGGUACACUUUGCUUAUCCUAGGCGUGAUAAGAUCCUUCUACGUCUUGGGUUUUGUGAAACGAACCUGCUUAUAACCUGUCUCAUUUGAGACUACAUUUUGAACCUUGACCUCAAAUCGGGUGAGACUACCCGCUGAACUUAAGCAUAUCAAUAAGCGGAGGA
rnacentral:rRNA from 1 species